rnacentral:tRNA from 1 species
GGGGCCGUAGCCCAAUUUCGGCAGGAGGCACCACUUUUAGGUAGUGGACAGUGCGAGUUCGAGUCUCGUCGGCCCCACCA